AGCAUUGUGAGUGCAGUUCAGCUAGACAAGGAGAUGUCUUAGUGGCUGUGCUGGUCCAGGGACUUUACUUGGGUUUCCUGCAGCUCCCGGCUCCUUGGGCAGCAGCUGGCUUCUUCAUUUCACCCCCUUAUGGUUCAGCAGCAGGAUCAGCCCCUCCAUUUCUCCCCAUUGCAUUUGGAGAGCCUCUGCUCGCUUCCCACUGGUUUAUUUCCGUCUGACCGGAUGGCAGAUGCAGCAUUCAAGGACUUCAGAACCUUUGAUUUAAUUGCUCAAAAAGUAACAUCAAAGCACAUGGGCAGCUCUGCCUGAAAGCGGGAAAGUCUGGGCCGUGCUGCGUCGCUCUGUGGGCAAAGGCCAGUCACGCUGGGACCGAGCCCCAGUCUGAGCCCCAGAUUCUCUUGGUGAAAUCGCUCCCCAGGCUGGAGGACGUCUGGAGGGGGAGACCCCACCCCAGGAAGCCUACCCCAGGCAAGCAGGAUCCCUGGGAACUCGGAGAGCCAGAGCCAGCCCCUUUUGGAAGGCUGCAGGGGAAGCAUGACUGAGGUGGAGCCUGUGCUGGACUUUGCAUCCUCCGGGAGGACUGGCCGCAGGAACGCCCUCCCUGACAUUCUGGGCUCGCCGGCCGGCGUCAGCCCCUCCGACCUGCCUCUGAAACUAGCUGAAAUGUCUCUAAGCUCAGACAGAUCCCAGGAAAUGCAGUCCCCGUCCACAGAGGUGCCCCCGCAGCAGCCCCAAAGCCCAGAGCUGAAGGACACGUCUUAACACCUCCCCUGGGAUGCAUUUCUGACCAGCAGGGAAAGGAGAGACUGCUGAGCAUCAACACAGCUUGAUUGGUGGGGCCUGGAGUUUGCUGGGUUUUCCUUGGUGCUAUGCAGCAAGAACAUCUUGUGUUCCUUGGAGUGGGGGAGUAGAGGAACCUCCAAGGGGGAAUAAGCAACCACGUGUCUGGCAAAGCUGGGGAAAACCCCUGCAGGGAAACGUUUCUUCGGUGGCAUUUAAGGACACAGACUUAGGAGCCAAGGGCGUUUAUUUGGGGGUAUUUUCUCGUCUUCACACCCAAACAGCUGAGCGGUGCUGACACCUGCGAUGUCUCUGUGCUAGGAACGUGACGAGCAACCAAGGGUUGUUCUUAGCUGAGUACAUUUGUUCAUUGAUGUUCUGGGGCACAAUUUCCUUGUUUUUUCUUUUGUAAUAGAUGAUCCAGUAUCCUUAUUCAGGCCUUCUGAGAAGCCUGGGGCAAAUGGCACAGCGGGGGUCCGUAGGACAUUCUCCUCUCUGACACCCAAAGGUGAAGCCCUUGUCUGACAAACAGAAGCGAGUCCCUUCCCAGGCUGGGUCCUGCUUAAGCCGGGACCCAGUAUGACCCCUGCAACUUGCGGGAUAAAGCUCCCUUGAGCCCUGGCUCCCUUUAGAAGCUUGCCAACCAAACGGGAUGAAGUUUGGCAGUUUCACCAAAGUCUCAAAGCAGCCAGCAGGCCACACCGGGGCGUCAGUGACGCCAGUCCACGGAGCUUAGUGUCACUGGUGAACCGGGCUCAGCCCAGACCCCCAGGCUUGCCUGGAUCCCCGCCCCUCAUGCAGCACCCCCUGCCCCGGGUUGUGGUUAGGGUCCUGGGCACUGGAUAUACUGUGCACAACUACCUCCCCCGAGGACUGGCCUUCAGGAGCAGCGCUGGCUCUGCCCCCAAGCCAUGGCUGCCGCCUGCUCUAAUCAGGAGUAUCCAGCCCUCUGUACAAGGGAUGAGAAACUGCCAGUUGGGCUCUGCAGGGAGAGAAGCGGGGUCAGUGGGUUUCACAGCAAACCCCAGAGGGGGCUGCCCCCUACACAACAGCAGAGAACCCGAGGCCAAGGGUUUUGCUGCCUAAACACAGGCUCUGUCUAAACACAGCACUCUGCCCUCUGCAGGGAGAUCGGUGCAUUACACAGGGGGGCUGUAGCCCCAGGUUCCCAUCCCUUACUGGCCAGGAUGGCAAGGAACCAUCUGCAGGUGGUACCAGGCGCUACUCAGGUUUUGGGGGGCAUUUAAUGUUUGUUUUUCACUACGGGUGUAGAGAGACACCCCCACCCACCGUGCCUGGAUCCUCCCUGCCCCCGCGAGGAGGAAAAUGUAAAGGAAACCUAGUGGUUUGGCUCAGAUAUACUGUGGCACUUUAGCGAAUGCUGCCAUGGCCACACAGGGCAGGGUUCUGGAUUGAUAGAGGGGUCCCUCCUGCUCUCUUGCAAUGGUCCCCCCAGAGGGGAGCUUUGGGGCAGAGAACCCUGGUGUUCUGCUCGACAUGGCCUCUCUCUUACUGUUCCUGUUGUUUGUAUUGUAGCAGUGCCCCCGUCACAGGCCCAGGCCCCAGUGGGCUGGGCGCUGUGCAGACACAUCGGAGACACUCCGAGCCCUGAAGAUCAGAUGUGCAAUAUGCCGUGCCCCAGGCUGUAUGAGAGCUCAUGCUGGGUUUUGCCCCAGCACUCACUGUGGCCACCUGGCUCGCGAGAGACGGGCUCUAUGAAUCCAACAGGACUCACUGCCACUGGCCUCGCAUCCAGCCUUGGGCACACCGGAGCCAGGAGAAUAGCCAUAGGUCUGGGAGGACUCUGCAAUGAUUCCCCCUGGGGAGCGAGUUAGUUUAGAUUCAGGCCUUCCCCUCCCACUUGUGUCCCCGGGUUCACUAACUCCUCGUUGACGUGGGCACCCUGUGCCUGCACUGCCAGCCCCUCCACGGUGCCUCCAGCCAUGGUCUCUGGUUUGGGUGCUCAGGGGACUACAAAGGCCCAUGUGGAUUUUGUUGUCCUUUCCCUGGGAGCUGGGCGCAUCACUUUUGCUGGCCUUUCACCUUCUGCCAGUGCAAAGGACCCAGGAGCCUGAGGCUCCCCCAGUCUCUGAGAAUGCAGAACUGCUGCCCAGGUUUCUUAUUGUCCCUCCUGGGCUCCCAGACCCAGCAAACUGAUGUGACGAACACUCCUUCCCCAGCUGUCACUCUAAGGUCAGGUCUCCAGCGUGGUGUUUCUGGAGCGGUAGCCCCUGCCUUGGCACUGGGAAGUUCCUUCUGGGAGAGGAUUGAGCCAUGCAGGGGCUCUGGUCUCCCAGCUGUGGAAUCAGGGUAAAUCUUAGUGCCCAGGCAGGACUGGGGUCAUCAUAAUACAGCUGCAAUGCAGAAACACAUCGGUGUCGCAAGGAACAAGAUGCUUCUAAUACACCUGGAAGGACUUUGUGCUGCACAGUGAUACCAGCCCUUUGCCAUUCUCCAGCACCUUCCAUCUGAGGACCUCAAAGUCCUAUACAAAAAGAUCACAUGUACCCAAAAAUACAGCCCAACCCUGGUUAUUGACGGGAAUGAAUAUAUCGCUGCUCCAAGGUACUUGCUACACCCUGUGUUGGGCAUUUAAAAAAAAACCGUACAGCUCCAUUGAUACACAUAACAACUCCUAAAGGCUUGACAUAGACUUAAGAAAUUCAUUUCUCACAAACUACCUAGGGGACAAACUUCCUGCCAUUAAAAAAGCUGGUAGUCUCAGUUUUCCAGGGGUAUAAAGCACUAAUUUAUAAUCAUCAAAGGUCAUUUUAUCAGAUCUUUUAAAAUCACACCACUCCGAUUACCAUCUUCCUCCUCCACACUUGCAUUCCAGUGUGUUUUGGUAGCUGCCAUCUCAAGAACUACUUGAGAUAGAAACUGAUGCUGCCUGUCCUCUUGAGUGGAAGAUUGGGAAUCUCAGAUUUCAAAGGGGAUAAAGCGUCAACCUCUAACUUGAAAUACCAGCUGCUAAAAUCACCCUGGAAUGACCAUCACAAACGUGCUUUGUUGAUGGGACCACUACAAAUGGUUUCAGGACCAAUCUGAUUUUUCUAAGCACUGAUCCUAUGCUGAAUUUGCAAAACAUCUGUCUGUCCAUUUAUUUCUGGAAGGCUCAGGCCUAGACUCUGAUCUCAGUGACUAUCAGGAUAAAUCUGGAGUAAAUCCAUUUCAGUGAAUGGAGUUAUUCCAAUUUUACACCAGUGGAAAUGAGACCAGACUCUGACCCCCCACGGCUAAAUAAUGCUUGUAAAAGGAUACUGGAUUUAGCAUCAUUCCUAACAUGUAAACAAGAGGUAUCCUGGAUUUAAUGUCUGUGUAAUGUGUCUGUGUGGGUGUGUAUUGGAUGUGUAUAGUGUGUACAUGCUGCUUCCUGGAGCGUCUGAGCACAGCUGGGAACAGAGUGAAUGUGGAGACUGGUUUGUGGUGGACGCUUGGGACCAGGGAUUGGGGCUGGGAGGAAGGUCUGAGGACUGGAACUUCCAAAGGGAAAUUUCACAUGGGCACAUGCCCCCAGCGCCCAAACUGUCAGAUCUCAUUGGCUUUGACUUGGUGGCUGUCAGGAAUUGAGAUGGGGCUGGGAGUGCAGUGAACACGGGGGUUCUUUUUUUAAGGGAGCAGUGUGCAUCUCUGGGAGAGUCCUGAGCUGCUCCCACCUGGGGACUUGUUUGGGUAAUAAAUUGUGAGUAUUUUCCUGUGCA